rnacentral:tRNA from 1 species
GCCCAGGUGGCGGAAUUGGUAGACGCGCUAGCUUGAGGGGCUAGUGUCCUUAUGGUCGUGCAGGUUCGAGUCCUGUUCUGGGCACCA